ensembl:lncRNA
UUUAAAUUCAUGCUCUUCUGUUUUAAAUUCACCAAUAAAGAGUAAGCCCUCAAAAAUCCUAGGCCCCCACCCCCAUAAAAGCAGGACCCAGGCCUAUGCACUCUCUCUCUCUCCUCACGGCCUUGCUGUGUGGCCCUCGGUGUGCUGUGCAACUUCCAGGUCUGUUGAGGACACAGAGACCCUAUGGAUGGCUACUUCAAAGAUAGAAACCCGGGUCCCUGCACCACCAAAUGGUCAACCAGAAACACAUCCACUGGCUGCUAUGUGAGAGAAGAAAAUACACUUCUAUUGUGUUAAUCUACCAAAAUUGAGGAUUCAUUCCAAUUGAGUUAUUCCAAUUAUGUUAUUAGCAUUCCUCUAACUAAUAAUAUGAAUAUGCCAUUCCUUUUUGAAAGAAAUAUUUCAAUCAAUGACUGACAAUGUUAGGAUUGUUGAUUUUGCUUUGGAAUUACCACAAAGGCAAGAAUUUAAUUAGCACAUGCUCUGUGGGAAAAGGGUGAGGUCAGAAGAAGUGAUAAAGCAGGAAAUCUAAUCCUCUCAGUCAGGGGUCAGGAAAUUUUUACCGUAAAAGUUAAGACAGUAAGUAUGUUCAGCUUUGUGGGCCACAUGGAUCUCUGUUGCAUAGUCUUUUGUUUUUUUUAACAACUCUUUAAAAAUGUAAAAAUCUUUCCUAGCUCAUAAGCUACAAGAUAACAGACUUUGGACAAGAUCUGGCCCAUGGGCCCAAGAUUACCAGUGUCUAAGUGACUGGAGGAUGUAGGACUUGAAUCUCAUGCUGAUGAGUAAGACCCCUCUAGGGGACAUGAAUGGAUGCAUUCUACUUUAAGGCUAUGAAUUCCUUGAAGAUUGUUGGAGAAGGUCAUGGAGAAGAUGUGACCAAUAGUUGACCCAAGAGGUGGACCUGGGCAAUUGGAGGUUCCUCCUCUCCUCUUCUGUCUUUGGAAUGUACAUUCUUCCCACAGUUCCCACAGUUGGAUCCAUUUUCAAGGACACAGCCUUGAGAGAGCAAUGCAUUAUUGAGACUAUCUGAGUGGCAUAUGUAAUUGAACCCCCAUUGAGGCUUCUACAUAAAUUUUCAAGAUUCUGGUGGGUGGGUGCUGAGAUCUACUCAUCAUCUUGAGGCUGCCCAAAACAAGCCUCGUGUGCAAGUUCCCUUGAUUAUUAAAACUGCCACCUACCAAUCUGGAGGGGACUGCUUCUUUCUUUGGUCUCUCCUUGCCCUCUGUGUAUGCAGACCAGUUCUGGAUUUCACUUGAGAAGCUCUCGAGUUCAAGAACCAACAAAGGCAAGAAUCAUGUUUUAUGCUUUCAUCUUAACCAUUAUUCCGCUUGAUAUAGGGCUUUAAAUUUCAUUCUAAUUUUGACUCUUCUACUGCCGUGUGCAAAGCUCUGUGUUAGGCACUCUAGACUUAAGUAUAAAAUUUAUGCCUCUCUCCAAAAUAAAAUUAAGUUGAAUUGAAAUAAAAUUUAUCUAAUUGAAUUAUACUGGCAGAAUUGCAAUAAUAAUUCCAGAACAGAAUGCUAAGCAUUUUGUAAUAUACAACUAUGUCAUAUUCCUCUUCCUAUGAGCAAUAGCCUUUGCUAUCGUGGAAUGUCUAUGUCGCUUUCAAUUGUUAAUAUUUAUAUGUGGAAGCUUCAUUGAGAAAAAAAAGUGCUGCUUUUUCCUUUGACCUGAUACAUAAAGAAACAGAGUAAAAUAUUUACAAAUUUUAUAUAAGGCUUCUAUCUGAAUAGAAAUAAAAAUCAUAGAAAUUUUGUCUGAGAUUUGGUGAUUUCACCUAGGGGUUUGAUAUCAUAGGAUAUUAUCUUCUCAAGCUCAUUCUAAGACUUAUUUGUAUAUUUAGUUAUCCUGCACAUAGAAAUCCC